rnacentral:lncRNA from 1 species
UUUCUUCCGCCUAAAUUUUUUUUCUUGCGUAGUAUUGUUUUUUAAUAAGUUGUCGCUUAGAUAUUUGGAAUAUGAUAUCGUAUAGUUUAUACGCUUUAAAAAUUUACAACCGCGUAACAAAAUACUUUACGUUGUAUGAGUUAUCUCCCUGAACACUGUUUUUCUUGUGGCCACUACUCCUUCGCAACCGUAAAAGAUUACGACAAAUUUAUUUUACCAAAUUGCUCGUUACUUCUUCAGGAUUAGGAUAUUCAUUUGGACCGAAGCUAUCCGGAGACUUCAUAUGAGAGUUAUUUCCCCUUAUGCAUUUGAUAUAAGUUAUAUGCGUUUCUAACUGGUAAACCAUAAGUGAUAUAG